AACCUGGUUGGGUGGUCUGCCUUCACGGUACGUACUGCUUGGCCGGGUUCUACCUCUUGGUGAGCCAGCAUGCCCUUCACUGGGUGUGUCGGGGAACCAGGACUUUUACCUUGAGAAAAUUAGAGUGUUUAAAGCAGGCUUUCAAGCUUGAACAUAUUAGCAUGGAAUAAUGAAAUAGGA
rnacentral:rRNA from 1 species